UGGACUUGACAUCCUAUUAAUAUGUUAGAGAUAAGAUAGUGCUAGUUUACUAGAAAAUAGUGAC
rnacentral:rRNA from 1 species